rnacentral:rRNA from 1 species
UUAAAUUGAAGAGUUUGAUCAUGGCUCAGAUUGAACGCUGGCGGCAGGCCUAACACAUGCAAGUCGAACGGUAACAGAAAGCAGCUUGCUGCUUUGCUGACGAGUGGCGGACGGGUGAGUAAUGUCUGGGAAACUGCCUGAUGGAGGGGGAUAACUACUGGAAACGGUAGCUAAUACCGCAUAACGUCGCAAGACCAAAGAGGGGGACCUUCGGGCCUCUUGCCAUCGGAUGUGCCCAGAUGGGAUUAGCUUGUUGGUGGGGUAACGGCUCACCAAGGCGACGAUCCCUAGCUGGUCUGAGAGGAUGACCAGCCACACUGGAACUGAGACACGGUCCAGACUCCUACGGGAGGCAGCAGUGGGGAAUAUUGCACAAUGGGCGCAAGCCUGAUGCAGCCAUGCCGCGUGUAUGAAGAAGGCCUUCGGGUUGUAAAGUACUUUCAGCGGGGAGGAAGGGAGUAAAGUUAAUACCUUUGCUCAUUGACGUUACCCGCAGAAGAAGCACCGGCUAACUCCGUGCCAGCAGCCGCGGUAAUACGGAGGGUGCAAGCGUUAAUCGGAAUUACUGGGCGUAAAGCGCACGCAGGCGGUUUGUUAAGUCAGAUGUGAAAUCCCCGGGCUCAACCUGGGAACUGCAUCUGAUACUGGCAAGCUUGAGUCUCGUAGAGGGGGGUAGAAUUCCAGGUGUAGCGGUGAAAUGCGUAGAGAUCUGGAGGAAUACCGGUGGCGAAGGCGGCCCCCUGGACGAAGACUGACGCUCAGGUGCGAAAGCGUGGGGAGCAAACAGGAUUAGAUACCCUGGUAGUCCACGCCGUAAACGAUGUCGACUUGGAGGUUGUGCCCUUGAGGCGUGGCUUCCGGAGCUAACGCGUUAAGUCGACCGCCUGGGGAGUACGGCCGCAAGGUUAAAACUCAAAUGAAUUGACGGGGGCCCGCACAAGCGGUGGAGCAUGUGGUUUAAUUCGAUGCAACGCGAAGAACCUUACCUGGUCUUGACAUCCACGGAAGUUUUCAGAGAUGAGAAUGUGCCUUCGGGAACCGUGAGACAGGUGCUGCAUGGCUGUCGUCAGCUCGUGUUGUGAAAUGUUGGGUUAAGUCCCGCAACGAGCGCAACCCUUAUCCUUUGUUGCCAGCGGUCCGGCCGGGAACUCAAAGGAGACUGCCAGUGAUAAACUGGAGGAAGGUGGGGAUGACGUCAAGUCAUCAUGGCCCUUACGACCAGGGCUACACACGUGCUACAAUGGCGCAUACAAAGAGAAGCGACCUCGCGAGAGCAAGCGGACCUCAUAAAGUGCGUCGUAGUCCGGAUUGGAGUCUGCAACUCGACUCCAUGAAGUCGGAAUCGCUAGUAAUCGUGGAUCAGAAUGCCACGGUGAAUACGUUCCCGGGCCUUGUACACACCGCCCGUCACACCAUGGGAGUGGGUUGCAAAAGAAGUAGGUAGCUUAACCUUCGGGAGGGCGCUUACCACUUUGUGAUUCAUGACUGGGGUGAAGUCGUAACAAGGUAACCGUAGGGGAACCUGCGGUUGGAUC